GUCCACGCUGUAAACGAUGGGUACUGGGUGCUGCGGGUCUUGACCCCUGCGGUGCCACAAGCCAACGCGUUAAGUACCCCGCCUGGGAAGUACGGCCGCAAGGUUAAAACUCAAAGGAAUUGACGGGGGCCCGGCACAAGCGGUGGAGCAUGUGGUUUAAUUCGAAGCAACGCGCAGAACCUUACCUAGGCUUGACAUCCAGAGAAUCUGUUGGAAACAACGGAGUGCUGCCUUCGGGUAGAACUUUGAGACAGGUGCUGCAUGGCUGUCGU
rnacentral:rRNA from 1 species